GAUGAAGAACGUAGUGAAAUGCGAUAAGUAGUGUGAAUUGCAGAAUUCCGUGAAUCAUCGAAUCUUUGAACGCACAUUGCGCCCCCUGGUAUUCCGGGGGGCAUGCCUGUCCGAGCGUCAUUGCUGCCCUCAAGCACGGCUUGUGUGUUGGGCCUCCGUCCUCCUCCCGGGGGACGGGCCCGAAAGGCAGCGGCGGCACCGCGUCCGGUCCUCGAGCGUAUGGGGCUUCGUCACCCGCUCUUGUAGGCCCGGCCGGCGCUUGCCGACACAUCAAUCUUUUUUCCAGGUUGACCUCGGAUCAGGUAGGGAUACCCGCUGAACUUAAGCAUAUCAAUAAGCGGAGGA
rnacentral:misc_RNA from 1 species